rnacentral:rRNA from 1 species
CCUACGGGAGGCUGCAGUGGGGAAUAUUGCACAAUGGGGGAAACCCUGAUGCAGCGACGCCGCGUGAGUGAAGAAGUAUCUCGGUAUGUAAAGCUCUAUCAGCAGGGAAGAAAAUGACGGUAACUGAUUCAGAAGCCCCGGCUAACUACGUGCCAGCAGCCGCGGUAAUACGUAGGGGGCAAGCGUUAUCCGGAUUUACUGGGUGUAAAGGGAGCGUAGACGGCAGCACAAGUCUGGAGUGAAAUGCCGGGGCUUAACCCCGGAACGGCUUUGGAAACUGUGCAGCUAGAGUGCAGGAGGGGGAAGUGGAAUUCCUAGUGUAGCAGUGAAAUGCGUAGAUAUUAGGAGGAACACCAGUGGCGAAGGCGGCUUACUGGACUGUAACUGACGUUGAGGCUCGAAAGCGUGGGGAGCAAACAGGAUUAGAUACCCCAGUAGUC